AGAGUUUGAUCCUGGCUCAGGAUAAACGCUGGCGGCGUGCUUAACACAUGCAAGUCGAACGAAGUUUUUCUUUCGGGAGGAACUUAGUGGCGGACGGGUGAGUAACGCGUGGGUAACCUGCCCUGUACAGGGGGACAACAGCUGGAAACGGCUGCUAAUACCGCAUAAGCCCUUAGCACUGCAUGGUGUAUAGGGAAAAGGAGCAAUCCGGUACAGGAUGGACCCGCGUUUGAUUAGCCAGUUGGCAGGGUAACGGCCUACCAAAGCGACGAUCAGUAGCCGAUCUGAGAGGAUGUACGGCCACAUUGGGACUGAGACACGGCCCAGACUCCUACGGGAGGCAGCAGUGGGGAAUAUUGCACAAUGGAGGAAACUCUGACGCAGCGACGCCGCGUGAGUGAAGAAGUAUUUCGGUAUGUAAAGCUCUAUCAGCAGGGAAGAAAAUGACGGUACCUGACUAAGAAGCACCGGCUAAAUACGUGCCAGCAGCCGCGGUAAUACGUAUGGUGCAAGCGUUAUCCGGAUUUACUGGGUGUAAAGGGAGCGUAGGUGGCAAGGCAAGCCAGAAGUGAAAACCCGGGGCUCAACCGCGGGAUUGCUUUUGGAACUGUCAUGCUAGAGUGCAGGAGGGGUGAGCGGAAUUCCUAGUGUAGCGGUGAAAUGCGUAGAUAUUAGGAGGAACACCGGAGGCGAAGGCGGCUCACUGGACUGUAACUGACACUGAGGCUCGAAAGCGUGGGGAGCAAACAGGAUUAGAUACCCUGGUAGUCCACGCGGUAAACGAUGAAUACUAGAUGUCGGGUAGCAAAGCUAUUCGGUGUCGUCGCAAAAGCGUUAAGUAUUCCACCUGGGGAGUACGCCGGCAGCGGUGAAACUCAAAGGAAUUGACGGGGGCCCGCACAAGCGGAGGAACAUGUGGUUUAAUUCGAUGAUACGCGAGGAACCUUACCCGGGCUUAAAUUGCAGAUGAAUUACGGUGAAAGCCGUAAGCCGCAAGGCAUCUGUGAAGGUGCUGCAUGGUUGUCGUCAGCUCGUGCCGUGAGGUGUCGGCUUAAGUGCCAUAACGAGCGCAACCCUUGUUGUCAGUUACUAACAGGUUUCGCUGAGGACUCUGACAAGACUGCCAUCGUAAGAUGUGAGGAAGGUGGGGAUGACGUCAAAUCAGCACGGCCCUUACGUCCGGGGCUACACACGUGUUACAAUGGGGGGUACAGAGGGCCGCUACCACGCGAGUGGAUGCCAAUCCCCAAAGCCUCUCUCAGUUCGGACUGGAGUCUGCAACCCGACUCCACGAAGCUGGAUUCGCUAGUAAUCGCGCAUCAGCCACGGCGCGGUGAAUACGUUCCCGGGCCUUGUACACACCGCCCGUCAAGCCAUGGGAGCCGGGGGUACCUGAAGUGCGUAACCGCGAGGAGCGCCCUAGGGUAAAACUGGUGACUGGGGCUAAGUCGUAACAAGGUA
rnacentral:rRNA from 1 species